CAGAAAUGCAUCCGUCCUUCCUUGCUAUCUCCAACAGGUAUAUAUUUACUUUAGGAUGCUUCAUACUUUUACAAAGUUUUUGAUAAUUGGAAAAUGUUUUACUUUUACUGAUAUUUUUGUUUCAUUCUUUGACAGUGAGAAGGUUGUACAGAUAUCCGAUGUCAAUGCAAAGUAAGAAAAUAAGUUAUUUGAAGGUAUGAAACUAAUUGGUGUCUCUGACUAGGUAAUUUUUGUAUAUUAUUUCUGUUUCUGUUCAUCUCAGAGUUUCAAAAAAUUAUGAUUGAAAGUAUGGCCUAUUUAGUUCAAAUAGUGGCGAUGGCAAACGCCCACAAUGUUGUGGAGACAC